UGACCCAAGUAAUAAAGAAUUGGGAGAAACCUUAAAACCAAAAUAAAACCUCAAACAAUAGUUUUCUCUCUCCUCUGAUUUUAUACCCCGUACUGUGCAUGCUCAAUUUCUGCAUUUUGGAGUCGGAAUUUGCCUAAACUUAUUGAAUCAAAGUUGUAGAUCUCGAAAUUUUAUUGAACUUAGACCCAAAAAUCACUUGAUGUGGAGUUCGGAGCUGUGAGUUAUGGUCUUUGCAAAUUUGGUGUUGCUAUCUUCAUUUCUCUCUCCUCCGUUUUUAUUCCGACAAUCUGUUGCCCCAAUUAUCUACAACAUGCAGUCCAAUUUUGCUCUUUGUUGCUGAAUCAAAGUUGUCGAUCACUUCGAGCUAAUGAAUUUGGGCACAAAAAUCACUUGAUUUGGAGUUCGGAGCAACGAGUUAUGGUCUUUUUGUAGAUCACUUCGAGCUAAUGAAUUUGAGCACAAAAAUCGCUCAAUUUGGAGUUCUGAGCUAUGAGUUACGUCUUACACAAGUUCAGCACUACUGUUGUACUUUGUGUUGCGCUGCUGUCGUGGUUGGCUUGUUUGCCUUGUUGCUGGUUAUUCCUUUCCAUAUGAAGGUCGUUGUUGGAGUAUGUAUAUGGAGAUAAUUUAUGAAGUUCGAGCUAUAGUUGGUUAUCCAGAAUGUCGAAUUAUUGGGAAUCGUU